rnacentral:tRNA from 1 species
UAUCUUAUAUUUAAAUUAAUAAUAUCAAGUUGCAACCUUGAAGGUAUGAUAAUAAUCAUUAAGAUAU